UCUGGUUGAUCCUGCCAGUAGUGAUAUGCUUGUUUCAAAGAUUAAGCCAUGCAUGUCUAAGUAUAAGCGAACUUAUACAGUGAAACUGCGGAUGGCUCAUUAAAACAGUUUGAAUUUAUUUGAUGAAUGUAUGAGAAUACUACUUGGAUAACCGUAGUAAUUCUAGAGCUAAUACAUGCAACGACGCCCGACCGUUUCACUACGGAAGGGCUGUAUUUAUUGGAUACCAAAACCAUCCUUCCCUCGGGAAGUUUUGUUUGAUGAUUCACAAUAACUGAUCGGAUCGCCACUGUGGUGGCGACAGGUCAUUCAACAUUCUGCCCUAUCAGCUUUCGAUGGUUGUGUAGUGGACAACCAUGGCCAUAACGGGUAACGGAGAAUCAGGGUUCGAUUCCGGAGAAGGAGCUUGAGAAUUGGCUACUACAUCUAAGGAAGGCAGCAGGCGCGCAAAUUACCCAAUCCCGAUUCGGGGAGGUAGUGACAAAAAAUAACAAUACCGGGCCUUUUUGGGCUUGGUAAUUGGAAUGAGGGAGAGUUAAACGGACCAUCGAGUAUCCAUUGGAGGGCAAGUCUGGUGCCAGCAGCUGCGGUAAUACCAGCUCCAAUAGCGUAUAUUAAAGUUGUUGCAGUUAAAAAGCUCGUAGUUGGACUUGUGUGCGCUGUCCGCGGGUGGCCUGCGCCCAAAAGGGCGUUUCGGUUCGGCCCCGGUGGCGCCUUGAAAUCUGCAGCUGGGGGGACGUUGGCCUUAACUGGUCGGCGACCGCACGCCGGCUGCUCGGUUACUGUGAGAAAAUUAGAGUGUUCAAGGCAGGCAUUGGGUGCAAUUGAAUACAUUAGCAUGGAAUAAUAAAAUAUGCUCCUGCCGUAUUUUGUUGGUUUUGACUGGUGGGAGUAAUGAUUGAUAGGGACGGUUGGGGGUGCUAGUAUUGAGCGGCCAGAGGUGAAAUUCAUGGAUUCGCUCAAGACUAACUUAUGCGAAAGCAUUCACCAAGGACGUCCUCUUUAAUCAAGAACGAAAGUUGGGGGAUCGAAGACGAUCAGAUACCGUCGUAGUCUCAACCAUAAACUAUGUCGACUUGGGAUCGGCGGUAGUUUUUUCAUUAAGACACUGUCGGGACCACGGGAGAAAUCAAAGUGUCUGGACUCUGGGGGAAGUAUGGUCGCAAGGCUGAAACUUGAAGGAAUUGACGGAAGGGCACCACCAGGAGUGGAGCCUGCGGCUUAAUUUGACCCAACACGGGGAAACUUACCAGGUCCAGAGAUGUAGAGGAUUGACAGAUUGAAGCUC
rnacentral:rRNA from 1 species